rnacentral:tRNA from 1 species
GGCUGAGUGGUAGAGUGGUUAUACAGCGGACUGCAAAUCCGUGGACGUCGGUUCGAUUCCGGCCUCAGCCUCCA